AUCAUGAGUUCACAUGUCCGCAUGAUUAAAGGUAUUUUCCGGUAGACGAUGGGGAUGCGUUCCAUUAGAUAGUAGGCGGGGUAACGGCCCACCUAGUCAACGAUGGAUAGGGGUUCUGAGAGGAAGGUCCCCCACAUUGGAACCGAGACACGGUCCAAACUCCUACGGGAGGCAGCAGUGAGGAAUAUUGGUCAAUGGGCGAUGGCCUGAACCAGCCAAGUAGCGUGAAGGAUGACUGCCCUAUGGGUUGUAAACUUCUUUUAUAAAGGAAUAAAGUCGGGUAUGCAUACCCGUUUGCAUGUACUUUAUGAAUAAGGAUCGGCUAACUCCGUGCCAGCAGCCGCGGUAAUACGGAGGAUCCGAGCGUUAUCCGGAUUUAUUGGGUUUAAAGGGAGCGUAGAUGGAUGUUUAAGUCAGUUGUGAAAGUUUGCGGCUCAACCGUAAAAUUGCAGUUGAUACUGGAUGUCUUGAGUGCAGUUGAGGCAGGCGGAAUUCGUGGUGUAGCGGUGAAAUGCUUAGAUAUCACGAAGAACUCCGAUUG
rnacentral:rRNA from 1 species